CGACAUGGGGUGUAUUCCAUGAAUUCCUAUCUACUUCAACAAACUUCAAAUUGAAUAGAAAAGGUCUUGACAGUGGUUCAGUUUAAAAAACCGAGAAAAUAUUUUUGGGUUUUAUCAAACUGAAUCCCUGUCAUGGCAUUUUACUCAAUGCAAAAUAUGGAAUUUAACCGUUGAAGUAGAAAAAGUCCAGAUGACAAAUGGCGAUGAAUUCGUAAAGACUUGAACAAAAUUUUAAUUGAGUAGAAAUGACACGACAGUGAUUGAUUUUAAUUGANCAUGGCAUUUUACUCAAUACAAAAUUUGCAAUUUAAAUGUUGAAGUAGAAAAAGUCCAGAUGACAAAUGACAAUGAAUUCGUAUUGACUUUAACAAAAUUUAAAUUGAGUAGAGAAGACUUGACAGUGAUUGAGUUUUAUUGACUGUUGAAUAAAUAAUAUUAAAACAUUAUUCAAGAUAAAUGAUUAUAGAAAAAAUAAUAUUACUCUUCCAUUGAAAAUGAUUAAUUAUGAGUCUAACAUACUUACGAAAUGGCGUCUAUUUGAUGAAUUCCUAUCUACUUCAACAAACUUCAAAUUGAAUAGAAAAGGUCUUGACAGUGGUUCAGUUUAAUAAAACCACCGAUAAAGAAUGUUUGGGUUUUAUUAAACUGANAUCAACAAAAUUUAAAUUGAGUAGAGAAGACUUGACAGUGAUUGAGUUUUAUUGACUGUUGAAUAAAUAAUAUUACUCUUCCAUUGAAAAUGAUUAAUUAUGAGUCUAAUAUACUUACGACAUGGUGUCUAUUUGAUGAAUUCCUAUCUACUUCAACAAACUUCAAAUUGAAUAGAAAAAGUCUUGACAGUGGUUCGGUUUAAAGUUACCGAGAAAACUUAUUUGGGUUUCUUUAAACUGAAUCCCUGUCAUGGCAUUUUACUCAAUACAAAAUUUGCAAUUUAAAUGUUGAAGUAGAAAAAGUCCAGAUGACAAAUGGCGAUGAAUUCGUAAAGACUUGAACAAAAUUUUAAUUGAGUAGNAAAAGGUCUUGACAGUGGUUCGGUUUAAAGUUACCGAGAAAACUUAUUUAGGUUUCUUUAAACCGAAUCCCUGUCAUGGCAUUUUACUCAAUACAAAAUUUGCAAUUUAAAUGUUGAAGUAGAAAAAGCCCAGAUGACAAAUGGCGAUAAAUUCGUAAAGACUUGAACAAAAUUUUAAUUGAGUAGAAA